UACGGGGGGGGCAAGCGUUGUUCGGAUUAUUGGGCGUAAAGAGCUCGUAGGCGGCUUGUUGCGUCAGCUGUGAAAACCCGCAGCUCAACUGAUGGGCUUGCAGCUGAUACGGGCAGGCUUGAGUUCGGUAGGGGAGACUGGAAUUCCUGGUGUAGCGGUGAAAUGCGCAGAUAUUGGGAGGAACACCAGUGGCGAAGGCGGCUACCUGGACCGGUUCGUGACGCUGAGGCGCGAAAGCGUGGGGAGCAAACAGG
rnacentral:rRNA from 1 species